rnacentral:rRNA from 1 species
GCCUCCCUCUUUCUUCGUGCUUAACACAUGCAAGUCGAACGGAAAGGCCCUGCUUUUGUGGGGUGCUCGAGUGGCGAACGGGUGAGUAACACGUGAGUAACCUGCCCUUGACUUUGGGAUAACUUCAGGAAACUGGGGCUAAUACCGGAUAGGAGCUCCUGCUGCAUGGUGGGGGUUGGAAAGUUUCGGCGGUUGGGGAUGGACUCGCGGCUUAUCAGCUUGUUGGUGGGGUAGUGGCUUACCAAGGCUUUGACGGGUAGCCGGCCUGAGAGGGUGACCGGCCACAUUGGGACUGAGAUGCGGCCCAGACUCCUACGGGAGGCAGCAGUGGGGAAUAUUGCACAAUGGGCGGAAGCCUGAUGCAGCAACGCCGCGUGCGGGAUGACGGCCUGCGGGUUGUAAACCGCUUUCGCCUGUGACGAAGCGUGAGUGACGGUAAUGGGUAAAGAAGCACCGGCUAACUACGUG